GUGGUUUUCCCACGCUGGUACCAUAAAUGACAAGGUUACCCUUACUCUGCCUCUUUUGCGACUUAUCAGAGGCAGAGGAGUGUGACGCGCCUGGCUCGCUCCGUGCCUGAUUUUGUUUUCUUCCCUGUGUUUUGUCAGAAAUAAAAUUCUUAAAAUCAGGUCCUUUGUGGCGUCCCUGUUCCACACAAAACACAACGCAAGAGACCACCCGUUACAUUGGUGCCGUUUGACCCGUCGUUUGUUCAGCUGAAGCCGAACGCUGGGGUUGCUGCUGCUGCUUGGAUGGGACGUUCCACCGGACCUGUUGCUGACUGCUGCUGUGCUGUUGUCGUCA